rnacentral:rRNA from 1 species
CUUCCCAUUCCGAACAGAGAAGUUAAGCCCGCCUGAGCCGAUGGUACUGCGGUAACACGUGGGAGAGUAGGUCGGUGCCUAAA